AUGACAUUACCUGAAAUACCCAACAAAGGGGAGAAAGAAUCUACAGACACUAUAUCCAGAGGUAGCUUACCACUGUUGGAGAAGCAGCUUAUAGUACAGCUCUCAGAGAUGAGGUCUGCUCUUCUGCUGUGGGUACUGCUGCUCUGGGUUCCAGGAUCCACUGGUGACAUUGUGCUGACCCAGUUUCCAGCUUCUAUUGCCAUGUCUUUUGGGCAGAAGGCCACCAUUUCCUGGAGGACCAGCAAGAAUGUCACUGAAUAUGGCAGUAAUUAUAUGCAUUGGUACCAACAGAGACCAGGCCAUCUUCCCAAACUUCUGAUCUCUUUUGCAUCUAACCUAGCAUCUGGGGUCCCUGCCCGGUUCAGUAGUGGUGGGUCAGAGACAGAUUUCACCCUCAUCAUCCAUCCUGUGGAGGCUGAUGAUGUUGCAACCUAUUACUGUCAGCAGAGUAAAGAGAUUCCUCCCACAGUGGGAAUCAUCCUCCAGGCCUAA